UAAGAUUCAAUCCUCCAGUUACGUAGGAAUGAUUUUGUGGUAUGCUCAAGAGUUGGCAUCCGUUGCUGCAAAAACCGAAUAUGAUUAUCAGUUCCGUUAAAAGAUCUUCUCAUAUUUGAAUUUCUUUCUGGAAGAUUGGUUUUUCUCUGAGCAAGCCGAUCAGCAAAACUUUGAGCAGAUGACUGGGUUGAAACUGACGGAUUGUAUUUGGACCAUUAAAGUUUGGAACGAAAUGAGGUUGCGUUGGCUGGAAACAGAAGCUAAUGAAGAAACCGAAUGCUGGUAAUUUCCAUUCUCCCAGAGAGAUUUGCCAUGCUUGACCCUUGCUGCUUCAUCCUGAGCAAAUGACCUGGGAACACAGGAUCUUGCAUACAGAGUUCGAAAUUCUUCAUCAAAAGACUCAACAAGUUGUCCUGUAAUUAUCUGAACCAUACUGAGAUCGUCCUGGCAAGGACUACAAGUCAGUCUUAGAGGACAUGUUAAGAGGACAAGUUAAGAGUUUGGCUGUAGUCUCAGAAGUUUUAGCUUCAUAUUCCUCAUAUCGCAAAUGAAGAGCUGAUCGGCAGAAUAGUUGCAAAACCUUAUGUUUCUAAAUUGUUAUAAUAAGCUUUCUGUGCCAAAUCACAUAGUUUAGGCAACUAAACCUUUGGGUUGCUAUCUCUGUGGUUUACUCAAUAAAUGUAAUUUAGCAUGUCAAAAGUGAUAAACAAAGGUUGCCUCAAUCACUAACAGGUGGAUUUCACUGUACUUAAUGUACAAAGGAUAAAUAAAUAUAGUUCUCG